rnacentral:ncRNA from 2 species
AAACAUCCACGCGCCGAUUUGAGCUCGCAGCUUGCGGGCGCGGAAAAAAUGCAGCUAAAGCGCCGGCCGGUCUCACGG